rnacentral:rRNA from 1 species
GGAGGAGCAGUGGGGAAUCCCGGAAAUGGGCGCAAGCCUGAUCCAGCCAUGCCGCGUGAGUGAAGAAGGCCUUCGGGUUGUAAAGCUCUUUCGGCCGGGAAGAAAUCGCAUUGGUUAAUACCUGGUGUGGAUGACGGUACCGGAAUAAGAAGCACCGGCUAACUACGUGCCAGCAGCCGCGGUAAUACGUAGGGUGCGAGCGUUAAUCGGAAUUACUGGGCGUAAAGCGUGCGCAGGCGGUCUUGUAAGACAGGCGUGAAAUCCCCGGGCUCAACCUGGGAACUGCGCUUGUGACUGCAAGGCUAGAGUACGGCAGAGGGGGGUGGAAUUCCACGUGUAGCAGUGAAAUGCGUAGAGAUGUGGAGGAACACCAAUGGCGAAGGCAGCCCCCUGGGUCGAUACUGACGCUCAUGCACGAAAGCGUGGGUAGCAAACAGGAUUAGAUACCCUGGUAGUCCACGCCCUAAACGAUGUCAACUUGGUGUUGGGAGGGUAAAACCUUUUAGUACCGGAGUAACGCCGUGAAGUUGACCGCCUGGGGAGUACGGCCGCAAGGUUAAAACUCAAAGGAAUUGACGGGGACCCGCACAAGCGGGUGGAUGAUGUGGAUUAAUUCGAUGCAACGCGAAAAACCUUACCUACCCUUGACAUGUCAGGAAGUCUUGAGAGAUUGAGAUGUGCCCGAAAGGGAACCUGAACACAGGUGCUGCAUGGCUGUCGUCAGCUCGUGUCGUGAGAUGUCGCGUUAAGUCCCGCAACGAGCGCAACCCUUGUCGUUAAUUGCCAUCAUUUAGUUGGGCACUUUAGCGAGACUGCCGGUGACAAACCGGAGGAAGGUGGGGAUGACGUCAAGUCCUCAUGCCCUUAUGGGUAGGGCUUCACACGUCAUACAAUGGUCGGUACAAAGGGUCGCCAACCCGCGAGGGGGAGCCAAUCCCAGAAAGCCGAUCGUAGUCCGGAUUGCAGGCUGCAACUCGCCUGCAUGAAGUCGGAAUCGCUAGUAAUCGUGGAUCAGCAUGUCACCGUAUUCUUUCCCGGCCUUUACAC